rnacentral:rRNA from 1 species
GACGAACGCUGGCGGCGUGCCUAAUACAUGCAAGUAGAACGCUGAAGAGAGGAGCUUGCUCUUCUUGGAUGAGUUGCGAACGGGUGAGUAACGCGUAGGUAACCUGCCUUGUAGCGGGGGAUAACUAUUGGAAACGAUAGCUAAUACCGCAUAACAAUGGAUGACACAUGUCAUUUAUUUGAAAGGGGCAAUUGCUCCACUACAAGAUGGACCUGCGUUGUAUUAGCUAGUAGGUGAGGUAAUGGCUCACCUAGGCGACGAUACAUAGCCGACCUGAGAGGGUGAUCGGCCACACUGGGACUGGGACACGGCCCAGACUCCUACGGGAGGCAGCAGUAGGGCAUCUUCGGCAAUGGGGGCAACCCUGACCGAGCAACGCCGCGUGAGUGGAGAAGGUUUUCGGAUCGUAAAGCUCUGUUGUAAGUCAAGAACGGGUGUGAGAGUGGAAAGUUCACACUGUGACGGUAGCUUACCAGAAAGGGACGGCUAACUACGUG